UAUACAAUAUUAACAAACGAACCAACGUCCGUUAACCGUUUGGAUAGAUAACCUGACCUAGGUAAUACUCAAAAAUUUACUAUAAAAUAAUGUUAUUCGAGGGGAAAUAAAAUCACGUUUACAGAUGUACGUGAACGUAUAAUUUUAUUGGGGAUUUGAAUUUCAUACGGUGACAUAUAAACCCGCAGUAAAAUAUUGUAUCAUUUAUAAAAAACAAACGUAUUUUUAUUUUUCAAUGCGAAGUGAAUGUAAAAUGAGCAAAGCCGAAGGAAAAUUCAAUAUCGUGCCGAUGGCUCCGGACGACAAACCGAUAAUCGUUGGAUUUAUAAAAGAAUUAUUUUUCCGCCGUGAACCCUUGAUAGUGAAUUCAAAGAUAUCGGAAGACGUGGAAUCGAUGGAAAAACUCGAAACCUAUGGUUUGAGAACAUUGGAUACCGGUGAGGUUACAAAAAUACAAUUGAUAUUACUUGACUAUGGAAAAAUUAUUUUUAUAUUUAACUUUGAAAAUUAUACUCCAGUCAUAAGUAAGUCACAUGUGACUUUUAGGAAUCACCUGGUCGAAUUAUGGUGUCAGGUGUGGUGAGAUUUACAAUUUGUCAAAAAGUGUAUAAUUGUAUAUUAUAUGCUUUUCAUGUUUCUGGUGCCAAUUUUUACUUGGUAUACUAUACAUACGCGCUGAUUCGCGGGGAAAAAUUGCGAAUUUUAAAAUUAAUUACUUUAAACAUUGUUUUGGAUUCUGAGUGAAACAAGUAUUUAAUCGAACGACUGAAUUACACACUGAUUAGAAAUAUCGUGGGAAAAUAUUUAUUGUUUUCAAUAUUUUUAGAUUUAAUGUUGUUUUUGGUUUCUGUUUUUUUUUUUAAAUAUUAAUCAUUGAACAAUGUGUUCUGAAAUAUUCUAAAUUUACAUAGUCCUAUACAAAUACGAGUAGGUUAUAUAAUAUCUACCAACAAUAAUAAUACAUGAUAAAAUUAGUAAUUUAGUGUUUUAGUUACUGAUCGUUGCAAGGAAUGUGUCGGUUUUACUAUGUUUGUUUUUUUUUUUUUAUAAACAACAUUUGUACUAGACAUUUUGUUCUGAUAUCCGAGUUAAGUAAAUUUUAUCCAGGUGGUUCUUUAAAAAGAUCUUUUUUUAAUUUUCCAAGCUGUUUUCAUAAUAAUUGCCGGGAAAAAAUAUGGAAGUGUACGAAAUGUACCCACAUAAAAAAAUUGUAUUUUCAAAAUGUCUUUUAGAAAUCGUAAAUUGUGUUAAUUAUAUUAGAGAAUCAUCUUUCUACGAUUUAAAAACAUUAUUGACUACUGAGGUACACUUGUUCAAUUUCCAGUUCAAUGAACAGUUAAGUAGCUUGACGAUAACACUGAAUAUAAGUUAUAUCUGAGCUUCAAUUUCUAAAUGACUUUUUAACUAUAAGGAAGUUAACUUGAAUAUGUUGAUUUUAUCAAAGAAGAUUGACUAUUCCUCCAUUGAAUAUAUAAUUUGUAUUUUGUGAUGACGAUAAAGUAAUUCUAUCAACCGAAUUCUUAAUUUUAAAUGUACUGGUAAAUAAUGAACUGUGUAACAGUGCAGUACUUCUUAUUUUAUUCAGUUUUUUCGUUUGUUAAUACCAAAAAUGUAUGACUGAGAAAGAAAGAAAGUAAUUUUGCAAACACUAAAGUUAAUUUACUGUUGCAUUUAAAAUCCAUGCGAAAUUUAAUUCAACAACUGAUGAGCGUUUCUAGAAAGAAUAAAAUCCUAGUUAUGUUAUGAUUAUAUUUUAUACAAAAAUAUCAUUAAUUCACUAUAAUAGUAAAAAACAUAAUAUAAAAAUAUCAAAUAAUGAUACUGUUGUGAUUACUAAGAAUAAAUAAGCAUAUAAAACUUAAUUUUAUUGUUUGAAAAAUAUUUAUUUGUAUUCAAGUAUUUAAAAAUAAGGAAUAAGUACUUAAAAAAGUACAUUACUUUAAGUAUCUACGCAUAAUAAACUCAAUAAUUUCUUCGUCAUCAUCAGUAAUAAUUCUAUUUGAAAUUGAAGUCAUUAUUAUUUAUUAUGACGAUAAUUAUAAAUUAAAACCUAUUCUAACGAGGUAAAUACUUCUAGUUAAAAGAUUAUCCGGUACGAUUUGUACCGAAUAAGUUAUUCGGCACUUUAUGUGGUAGAAAGUGCUGACUAGCAGUUGAAAAUUUUACGAAUUAUAUAUAACCAUCAACUCCUGCUAUCUGGCAGCUACGUUUCCUUAACCAGAAAUUGAUAAAGUGGAACUAAGUGAUUCUACUGAUUAUACUUGUGAUAAUAUAGAUAAAGGUGUAAUUGUGUGAGAGAGAACAAGUCUUUUCACCAUAACAGCCAAUUUACACACUCCAUCUAAUUUAUUCAAUCAGACAUCUAUUUAUUAAACAACAAAACCAUAAAAGUUCGAAGCAUAUUCAUAAUUUUCUCAUUGUUGAUAAUGAUGUUUACGUGUUUUGGAGGCGCGACAAGGGAGUUAACAGCGAUUUAGUUUGAUUUCUACCACUUCCUCCCUGCAGGUUUUACUAUUCAUAAUUUUCAAUUUGAAAUUAUUCUGACGUUGAUAUUAUUAUCGUAUCUGUUUUAAAUAAUACGAUUUUCGAGCAAAAGUUAUGUAAUUUAAGUUACCAUAACUACAAAUAUUAUGGUCUAUGUGUAUUAAGUGGUUAUCAAAAUAAUAAUAAGCAUAUAUAAUAUUAUUCUGAUCGUCAUAAUUUUUGCAGGGAUUGUUUUUAAAGCGGUGUCCG